rnacentral:rRNA from 1 species
UUGCCCUUAGUAACGGCGAGUGAAGCGGCAAAAGCUCAAAUUUGAAAUCUGGUACCUUCGGUGCCCGAGUUGUAAUUUGGAGAGGGCAACUUUGGGGCCGUUCCUUGUCUAUGUUCCUUGGAACAGGACGUCAUAGAGGGUGAGAAUCCCGUGUGGCGAGGAGUGCGGUUCUUUGUAAAGUGCCUUCGAAGAGUCGAGUUGUUUGGGAAUGCAGCUCUAAGUGGGUGGUAAAUUCCAUCUAAAGCUAAAUAUUGGCGAGAGACCGAUAGCGAACAAGUACAGUGAUGGAAAGAUGAAAAGAACUUUGAAAAGAGAGUGAAAAAGUACGUGAAAUUGUUGAAAGGGAAGGGCAUUUGAUCAGACAUGGUGUUUUGUGCCCUCUGCUCCUUGUGGGUAGGGGAAUCUCGCAUUUCACUGGGCCAGCAUCAGUUUUGGUGGCAGGAUAAAUCCAUAGGAAUGUAGCUUGCCUCGGUAAGUAUUAUAGCCUGUGGGAAUACUGCCAGCUGGGACUGAGGACUGCGACGUAAGUCAAGGAUGCUGGCAUAAUGGUUAUAUGCCGCCCGUCUUGA